ACUUUUUAAACUGCAAUCAAUAUCAAUAGAAAUGUUAAUCGUGCUUUUAUUGACAAUUAUAUCAUUCUCAAACCAAGGAUAUAUUUGUACCAAUGACUGCAAAGUCCGUGAUAGAUGCAUCCCUUAUUGGUUCAAGAUCAUACAAAAUUGGAGCAACUGUGAUUCUGCCUUCAUAGGAAUACAUGAAGUAAAUCAUAGCAAGCAUACAAAGAACCUUCGACUUUGACCAUCGGCGCGAACAAAUAAUGGUUUCCAAUUGCCACGAUACUAUCGACGGAAGAUGAUACCAAACGAACAGGGACGAAGUUCAGGCUGUUGUUUGGACUAUGGCCAAGUAUGCGAAAAUAGAAUCGUCUUCCUACAGCUAAGCAUGAAUCACAGACGCGCAAGAACUAAACCGGUUAGCCCCUUCCUGUCUGCCAUCUCUUCAACUGGCUCUUACACUCAGCUCUAAACAAUAUUUCCUGAACACAUUAGACAACGUGUAGCUAGAAUGGCAUCUGCUAAUAUAAAAUUCAAAUUGCUCACUGGAUUUCUGUUGGAAUAAGUUUAAAUAAAAAAAUUCCUUAUUCGACCUCACCGAAUAAUCAUGUAUAAUUUAUUAUGGAGUACAACAAUUUCAUCUUCAUUCUGUGGUUAUUUCUGAGCUUUCUUUUUACGCACGACUUGACCAAAUAGUGUAUAUUCUGUUUAUUAAUAAAAAACAUGUAUGCAAAUCUCGAACUAUUGAAUAACUCUGGUUUUAUUUUUGCAUGUAAUGUCUUGGAUUUAACUGAAACCAUGACUUUGUAACGCUUUGAUAUUUGAGCGUUAAAAAAAAAUGCAUAAAUAAAUUCUUUUUUGCCAUAAACAAACAAUGUUUGUGAUAAUUUGAACGAUAUUGGCUCGCAUCACAACAAAUUCAUUUUCCUAAUAUUUCAUCAGAAUAUAACAACGGUUUUACGUAAAAUUGGUUUUAUUUUUUGAAUUACCACAUGAUUUAUCAAGACGUUAACUUUGUGCUUACACGUGGGUUACAGCGUCAAGAAAAGUGUAAGGUCUAACAGUCAAUAGUGCACACGGCACAGCUAAGUCGUUUAACUUACUAUUGUUACUGUAUAGCUAAGGAUCCCUAUGUCGGAACAGCUGAUAUAAUAUAUAUGAACGUCAUACUACAUGAAUAAAAGCAGUAAUAAACAGUAAUCCACAAAUACAUAAAUAAAUAUGGCACUUCCACGUGAUAAUCGGUCAAUACGAUAGAUCUAAGCUUAUCGAAGUCCGCCUUAUUCGAUAAUCAUAAUCAUUCCUAUAUUUAA